rnacentral:lncRNA from 1 species
UUUAAUAUGGUAUCAGAGCAGGUGCUCCAGGGAGGUCAUGUGUUCAAGCCCCUGCAUUGUCGUUUCCUCCCCAAUUAAAAUCAAUUUCCACUUGUUGGGCCUUUCAAAUAUUUCAAACCCAAAAGUGAGGUAAAAUUUAUUCCACUUGUUGGGCCUUUCAGAUAUUUCAAGCCCACAAGUGAGGGGGAGUGUUGGUGAUAUAUAAUUAAAUUUGCCUUCAACCACAAGCUUAAGCUUUUGGAUGAAUUGGUGGUUUAAUACACUCUUCUAGGGCUUUUUGUCUUCCAAAUUGUCGAGUACUUUGUUUUCAAGACUGUGUUAGAACCUGUUUUCUGUAAAUGUUUGGCUGAUUAAUAAAUUAGUAGAACACACUAUUUGGUGUUCUAUCAUUUUGGUAUCGGAGAAAUCGAAUCUGUGAAGUUCUAUUAUCAUGGCUCAAAAGCGAAUUGAGGAAAAGUUGGAAAUGGUAGAUCAAGAAAUAUCCGGCAUUCGAGCAGAAUUACAUGAUCUGCCAACAAUCAAGGAAAACAUGUCAUCUUUGGCGAAGAGUAUUGAGAGGUUAGGAGUACAGGCUGAGAAGCAACAACAGCAACCAGAAACACUGUUGAAAUAUAUUGAAGGAAUGAUCAAAGGGAAGACAACGAUGGAAGAAGUACUAGAAGGAUCAUCAAGUGAAGUUGACAGCAUGGUUGAUGUCAGUUAUUGGACGAUGAUGGGAGGAAAAUCUGAGGAAAAACAUACCAAGUUGGAGGGUGAAGAUUCUGCGGGUGACCGAAGCAAAUUUAAAAAUAUUGAAAUGCUAGUUUUUGUGGGAAAUGAUCCUGAUUCUUGGUUGUUUAGGGCUGAGAGAUACUUUCAGAUACACAAACUGAGUGAGUCAGAGAAAAUGACUGUGUCCAUUAUUAGUUUUGAUGGAGCAGCUUUGGAUUGGUAUAAAUCUCAUGAAGAUCGUGAACCGUUUGUUAAUUGGGACGAUUUAAAGAAGAGACUUAUUGUUUGAUUUCGAUCGAGUCGUGAGGGAUCAAUUCUGGGAAGAUUUUUAAAGAUCAAGCAAGAAAUUACAGUGGAAGAAUAUUGGAAUUUAUUUGAUAAAUCAGUAGCACCAUUGCCUUUUCUACAAAAGGCUGUCUUAGAAGAAACAUUUAUGAAUGGUUUGAAACCAUGGAUUAAGGCAGACAUGGAAUGUUGGGAACCUAUGGGCUUUGCUCAAAUGAUGAAGUUGGCCCAAAAGAUUGAGAACCGAGAAGUGAUAAGGGAGAAUCAAGUUUCAAACGUGCAGCGGAUGGAAAAUUCCAGGUUUCUGCUUCUUUUAAACCUCAAAUUCCUGUGAUUUCUAAUGAUAAUAAGUCAGGAGGGAUUGUUCCAAUGCGGAUGAUUACACUUCGAGGAGUGGCUGGUGAACCUAAUCGACGAGAAGGACCACUAAAACGACUUUCUGAUGCUGAAUUUCAGGCUAGACGUGAGAAAGGUCUCUGUUUUCGUUGUGAGGAAUGAUUUUUUGUGGGCCAUAAGUGUAAAGUGAAAGAUCAUAAGGAACUUAGAGUUUUAGUUGUUGGGGCAAAUGGGGAAGAACUAGAAGUAGUUGAAGAAGAGGAUUCAAAAGUGGAAACUGAAAUACAGGAGACUGAAGUUGUUAAACCAGAAGAACCCGUGAUCGAAUUAUCAAUAAAUUCGGUGGUGGGAUUAACAAACCCUGGAACUAUGAAAAUUAAAGGUAUGAUUAGAGAAAGGUCAGUAGUAGUAUCGAUAGAUUGCGGCGCGACCAAUAAUUUUAUAUCUGAAAAGUUAGUAACUCAAUUGUUGUUGCAGUUGCAGGAAACUUCUGAUUAUGGGGUUAUUUUGGGGUCUGAAUCUGCUGUAAAAGGGAAGGGAAUUUGUAAACAAGUGGAACUGCUAUUGGGUGAAUGGAAGGUUGUGGAUAAUUUUCUGCCAUUGGAAUUGGGGGGGAGUGGAUGUCAUUCUUGGUAUGCAAUGGCUACAUACAUUAGGAGUAACCGAAGUAGAUUGGUGAAAACUUACUUUGACAUUCAUACAAAAUGGGAAGAAGGUUGUAUUAAGGGGAGAUCCGAGUCAUACGAAGGCUAGGGUGAGUUUGAAGCACAUGAUGAAGACAUGGACAGAACUUGAUCAGGGAUUUCUGAUUGAGUGUAGAUCUUUGGAAGGUGGAAUGGCAUUUGCAGCGAUGUAUGGGGUUGAUGAAGUGCCUACCACUCAUGAGUCUAUUCCAGCCGUGUUAGCUAAGAAUGAAGAUGUUUUUGAUUGGCCUGGAGAGUUGCCACCACAAUGUACCAUUGAACAUCAUAUACAUCUUAAGAAGGGGACUAAUCCAGUCAAUGUUCGGCCUUAUAGAUAUGCAUACCAGCAAAAGGAGGAGAUGGAAAGAUUGGUUGAUGAAAUGAUGGCAUUUGGCAUAAAAACCUAGUACUAGUCCAUAUUCGAGCCCGGUCUUGUUGGUGAAAAAAAAUGGUAGUUGACGGUUUUGUGUAGAUUACCGUGCGUUGAAUAGUGUGACCGUUCCAGACAAGUUUCCUAUUCCAGUAGUAGAGGAAUUGUUUGAUGAACUUAAUGGGGCUAAUAUAUUUUCGAAGAUUGAUCUCAAGGCGGGAUAUCAUCAAAUUAGAAUGUGUAAAAAGGAUGUGAAGAAAACAGCUUUUAGAACUCACGAGGGGCAUUAUGAGUUUCUUGUCAUGCCUUUUGGGCUCACCAAUGCACCAUCAACGUUUCAAGCUUUGAUGAAUAGUAUCUUUAAACCUUACCUACGCAGGUUUUCUUAGUCUUUUUUGAUGAUAUAUUAAUUUACAGCAGAAGUUUGGAUGAAAAUCUUCAACAUUUAGAAUGGGUGUUAGAGGUGCUGCGAGAGAAUAAAUUAUAUGCUAAUAUGCAGCACAAGUGUGGGUUUGCCAAAAUGAAAGUGGAGUAUCUUGGCCAUAUAAUUUCGGGCAAGGGUGUAGAGGUUGAUCCCGAGAAAAUUAGAUCUAUCAAAGAAUGGCCCGUGCCCACUAAUGUCCGUGAAGUUCGUGGAUUUCUUGGGUUGACAGGAUAUUAUCGAAGAUUUGUAAUGAAUUAUGGAAGUGUGGCUGCUCCUUUGACUCAAUUAUUGAAGAAAGGAGCAUAUGAAUGGACUGUUGCAGCUGCUGAAGCUUUUGAGAAUUUAAAGAUGGCUACGAUGACUCUCCCAAUCUUAGCACUGCCAGAUUUUUCCUUACCAUUUGAAAUAGAGACCGAUGCUUCUGGAUACGGGGUAGGUGCUGUCUUAAUUCAAAAUCAUCGGCCAAUUGCUUAUUUUAGCCAGACAUUAGCUAUGAGGGAUCGUGCUAAACCAGUUUAUGAACGGGAAUUAAUGGCUGUAGUUUUGGCUGUGCAACGCUGUAGACCUUAUCUUUUGGGCAGGAGGUUUGUAGUGAAAACUGAUCAACGAUCAUUGAAACUUUUAUUGGAACAAAGGGUUAUCCAACCUCAACAUCAGAGGUGGAUUGCUAAGCUUCUUGGCUACAAUUUUGAUGUCGUGUAUAAACCGGGACUAGAAAACAAAGCAGCAGAUGCCUUGUCUCGUGUCCCUCCUACUGCCCAACUUAAUCAACUUACUGUUGAGAUCAGUUAAAUUGGCAGUCCCCAACACUGAAGUUGACCCUAAAUUAGUCCCAGAAAUUAAUGGGAUGGAUCUGAAUGUCUUGUUCAAUGAUGAAGAUAUUCUCCCUAUUAAAAUUCCCCUGGAUUUGCCUAAAGAUUUAGUGUCUAUAGUCGGUGAUUGUGGAAUCAUUCUGGCUUAAAUUAGAUGUGCAACUGCCUUUUCCUCCUCCCAGUCAUUAUUAAGGUUGUCUCCUGGAACACUAAGGGUUUGAACGACUCCUCUAAACGUGCAGCACUUAAAAAAUUCAUCAACAAUUGUAGUCAUGAUUCAAGAAUCUAAGAAGGAUACCUUGAACUCGGCUUUUAUAAAAUCAUUGUGGAGUUCUAAGGAUAUUGGCUGGGAUUAUGUGGCUUCUGUUGGAUCUUCUGGGGGAAUUCUUACCAUGUGGGACAGCAGUAAAAUAUCUGUAACAGAGGUCAUUAAAAGACGCUUCUCUUUGUCAAUCAAAUGCCUCACUUUGUGCAAAAAGGUUUGUUGGAUCACAAAUGUCUAUGGCCCUUGUGGUUGCAGAGAAAGGAAAUUGGUUUGGCCCGAAUUGUCUUCCUUGGCUGAUUGUUCGGCCGUGGCCUGGUGCAUAGGUGAGGAUCUUAAUAUCACUCGUUGGGCCCGGGAAAGAUUUCCUUUUGGCAGAAGUACUAGAGGAAUGUCAUUAUUCAAUAAGUUUAUUAACAUGGUUUCUCUCAUGGAAAUUCCAUUGCAAAAUGGAAGGUUCACUUGGUCUAGAGACGGUAAUUCUCCUUGAAGAUCAUUAUUAGACAGAUUCUUCAUAAAUCAGAUGUGGGAUGUUUGUUUUGAAAAUUCUCGGGUUUCUCGAAAAGCACGCAUCUUCUCGGAUCACUUUCCUUUAUUCUUGGAGGCUGGUUCUUUUCUUUGGGGUCCCUCUCCUUUUCGGUUUUGUAACAGCUGGUUGGUGUCCAGUGAUUCUAAUCAGAUUAUUGUUGAAACAGUGAGCAACUCUAACUUCCAGGGAUGGGCUGGUUUCAUUCUUCAUGAGCAGUUGAGAUCAGUUAAAUUGGCAGUAAAAGCUUGGAAUAUUGCUGCGCAAGCUAAGGUAAAAAAAAAAAACAGAGAAAUCCUUGAUGUCAAAAUUAGAAAAAUAUGAUUCUGUGGCUGAGUUGAUUGGAUUAAAUCAAGAAGAGUUGAAUUCUAGAGCUGCUUUGCAAGCGGAAUUACUUAGUAUUUAUCAAAAUGAAGAGCGUAAUUUUAUUCAGAAGAGUAAACUCAAUUGGCUUUCUUUGGGUGAUGAGAAUACGGGCUUCUUCCACCGCUUUCUAAAUGCGAAUAAAAGAAGGAACCUCAUAACUGAAUUAAAAGAUGAUGAUGAGGUUGUCUCGACUUCAUUCCGCGACAUUGAAAGGCUUGUGCUGGAAUUUUUUGAGUCAAUUUAUACCAGAAUUCCGGGGGACAGAUUCAUCCCUAUUAACAGUAAUUGGUCUUGUGUUUCCUCAAUUCAUAAUGAGGCUCUUGUUACCCAAUUUUCAGUGGAGGAGAUCUUUAAGGCAUUAAAGGCACUUGGCAACAAUAAAGCUCCGGGCCCGGAUGGCUUCACAGUGAAGUUCCUAAUCACCCAAUGGUCUAUUUUCAAGGAUAUCUUCAAAUCACUAAUGUCUGAUUUCCACAGAAAUGGAAGAUUAAAUGCUUGCAUCCAAGAAAACUUCAUUUGUUUAGUGCAGAAAAAAGAGAAUGUGACUCUAGUCAAGGAUUUCCGUCCAAUCAGCCUUACUACGUUAGCAUACAAGGUCGUUGCAAAGGUUUUAUCUGAACGUCUAAAACAAGUUAUGGAUGCAAUUAUAAGCCCCACUCAAAGCGCCUUUAUUGAAGGUAGGCAAAUUCUUGACCCAAUAUUAAUUGCUAACGAGGCCGUGGAAGAUUAUAGGGCAAAACGAAAAAGAAAAAAGAUGGAUUUUAAAACUUGACUUGGAAAAAGCCUUUGAUAGGGUGAAUUGGAACUUUUUAGAAAAAAA